GCUACACAUGCAGUCGAGGGGUAACAGGGUAGCAAUAUCGCUGACGACCGGCGCACGGGUGAGUAACGCGUAUGCAACCUUCCUUUAACUGGGGGAUAGCCCGGAGAAAUUCGGAUUAAUACCCCAUAACAUCAUGAAGAGGCAUCUUUUUAUGAUUAAAGCUCCGGCGGUUAAAGAUGGGCAUGCGUGCCAUUAGCUUGUUGGUGAGGUAACGGCUCACCAAGGCUACGAUGGUUAGGGGGUCUGAGAGGAUGAUCCCCCACACUGGUACUGAGACACGGACCAGACUCCUACGGGAGGCAGCAGUGAGGAAUAUUGGGCAAUGGGCGCAAGCCUGACCCAGCCAUGCCGCGUGAAGGAUGAAUGCCCUAUGGGUUGUAAACUUCUUUUGUACGGGACGAAAUUCCUGGUCGUGACCGGGAUUGACUGUACCGUGCGAAUAAGCAUCGGCUAACUCCGUGUCAGCAGCCGCGGUAAUACGGAGGAUGCAAGCGUUAUCCGGAUUCAUUGGGUUUAAAGGGUGCGUAGGCGGAAUAAUAAGUCAGUGGUGAAAGCCUGCGGCUUAACCGUAGAACUGCCAUUGAUACUGUUAUUCUUGAGUAUAGUUGAGGUGGGCGGAAUGUGUAAUGUAGCGGUGAAAUGCUUAGAUAUUACACAGAACACCAAUUGCGAAGGCAGCUCACUAAGCUGUUACUGACGCUGAGGCACGAAAGCGUGGGGAGCAAACAGGAUUAGAUACCCUGGUAGUCCACGCCGUAAACGAUGAUCACUCGUUGUUGGCGAUACACCGUCAGCGACUGAGCGAAAGCAAUAAGUGAUCC
rnacentral:rRNA from 1 species